CAGGCAUUCAAUCCAAACUCGGCAGUGUUCAAACAGAGUAACCGUAAAACAAUAAAGGAAUGUUGAUCACUGUCGUCCUGAGCGUUUAUUUCAACUGGAUUCUGCUCCCAGGUUCUUCUCGGAGUCAGCAGGUGUUUCAGACUCCUGCCAACAGCUUCAGUAGAUCAGGCGGGACGGCCAACAUCAACUGUUCACACAAUGUUCAAAACUACAACCAGAUCCUCUGGUACAAGCAACAAGCCAGUGGACUGCUCCUCCUGGGCUACGUCUACUACAAUGACCCUUACCCAGAGAAAGGGCUGGACGUCAAGAUGACCGGGAGCGCAGAUAAAGAUCAGCAGUGCACGUUGACAGUAGAGAGGCUCGACUCUAACAGCAGCGGGGUUUACUUCUGCGCUGCCAGUCGCCACAGUAACACAAUCCACCGAUUUGUCAGUACAAAAACCUCUCAAGCAGGUUUGCAUGUGCGCCUCCAGACUCAAAGCCACAGAAACCCAGAAUAACUGUAAUUUGGUGUUUCAUCUCACAGUGACAAAUUAUUUCCCUGGAGGUUCUCUUGUAAGCAGAUGAAAGUGGUUUAAAGAUGUUUUUCAAAGAAACUAAGUAAAUAUAUUAUGUACUGGUUGAGGCAGUUCAAUUAGAGCUACAUAUGUUUAGUUAUUUAGUCCUACAGAUUUGUCUGUUCUAGAAAUAGUGAGACAAACUGAACAGUUGUGCAGUGAUCUUCCUGUAUCUCAGAAAUAAAUUCCCUUCUAAUAAAUAAAAUGCUUCUGUUAGUUUCUAAAUUACUGACUAAGCUAAGUAUUUUAGCUUAGCACCAAAAUGCAUUAAAGGCCUGUUGUGAUCGUGUCAACCUUCCAGACCUCUCAGGUUUUCUG